CCUACGGGAGGCAGCAGUGAGGAAUAUUGGUCAAUGGUCGCGAGCCUGAACCAGCCAAGUAGCGUGAAGGAUGACUGCCCUACGGGUUGUAAACUUCUUUUAUAAAGGAAUAAAGUGAGGCACGUGUGCCUUUAUGUAUGUACUUUAUGAAUAAUGAUCGGCUAACUCCGUGCCAGCAGCCGCGGUAAUACGGAGGAUCCGAGCGUUAUCCGGAUUUAUUGGGUUUAAAGGGAGCGUAGAUGGGUUGUUAAGUCAGUUGUGAAAGUUUGCGGCUCAACCGUAAAAUUGCAAUUGAUACUGGCAGUCUUGAGUACAGUUGAGGUAGGCGGAAUUCGUGGUGUAGCGGUGAAAUGCUUAGAUAUCACGAAGAACUCCGAUUGCGAAGGCAGCUUACUAAACUGCCACUGACAUUGAUGCUCGAAAGUGUGGGUAUCAAACAGGAUUAGAUACCCUAGUAGUC
rnacentral:rRNA from 1 species